AUGGACACUGGGCAGCGCCACUGCUCCUGCAGGCCCUGCCGGAGGAGGAGAUGCCAUAGUUUCAGCAGCAGAGUUUUCACCUGCGAAGCUAGUGCCGCUGUUCAUGUCCAGGAAGAACGCGCGACCCGUAGUCGCGGCGUUGAUGGGUGGGAUAAUCAUCAGCCCCUCCGCCGUCGCUGUGGCUCCGAUCGGCGCCGAAGGGAACGGAAACGGAACCGGCACGUAGCGAACGUCCGGCGGCGGCGAAGUAGGCGUGACAGGAAGCGCACGGGGACGAAUUCUCCGCACCCCAUGCACCGGCCGCCGAGGAUUCGGGUCCGGCAUGUGGCGCUUCCUGGUGAUGAGCCUCGCCCUCGCCGCCGUCACCACGGGUGUUGUCGGCGUAGCAGCACGGCCGACCAGCCGCGCCUCCCGUUGGUGCUCGAGGAGCACGGUGGCGAGGAAGUCGUACGACUCGGUGAAGGCGAUGGCCUCGGCGAUGUCCGAUUCCAGUAUGAUGCGGCGGUGGUGGGACUGGGCGCACGCCCAGGCGCGCAGGGCGAGCUCCUGCACGAAGAGCUCGCAGAGCUUGGCCAGGUACGCCGGCGUGUCGGCGGCGAUCAGCAUGCCGUCCUCCUCGGCGCGGAUGAGCCUCUUGAGGCGGGACAUGGGCAGUAUGCGGUCGUUGAAGUCCACCGUCGCCUCCAUAUCCUCCUGCCGCUCCCUCCAGAACUGGUCCACCGCCCGCUGCUGCGGCGCCGGCAGCGCCGGCCUCGGCCCCGUGCGCACCACCACGCGCUCCUCCCCCGCUCCCCUUCCUUCCUUCGCUUGCUCGGUCCCCAUCACCCUGCGUUUGCCUUAGCAAAACUGCAAACUCGGUCACUAGAGGUGAUUGCGAUGAGUGGGAAGAUGGGCACGAGGAGGGCGGCCUCUAUAUAG
rnacentral:rRNA from 1 species